ACACAAACCACCUGGGGGGUGUUAAAAUGCAAAUGCUAAUCCAGUCUGUCUGCGUUGGCCAGAGAUUCUGCAUUUCUAGCCAGCUCCUCAGUGGUGUCUCU
rnacentral:pre_miRNA from 1 species